AGGCGGGCGCGAUGGCGGAGGAGGAGCGGGCGCUGCUGGGCUCCGAUGGCGGCGAUGGCGGCGGCUCCCCGGGCCCUCCCCGCGCCCUGCCCGCCGCCUGCGACCCCCGCCGCCUCCCGCACCGCCUGCUCGUCCUGGCCCUCAUGUGCUUCCUGGGAUUCGGCAGCUACUUCUGCUACGAUAACCCGGCCGCGCUGCAGACACAGGUUCAGCGGGACAUGAAGGUGAACACAGCCCAGUUCAUGGCACUCUAUGCCUGGUACUCCUGGCCCAACGUGGUGCUGUGCUUCUUCGGAGGUUUCCUGAUAGACAGAGUCUUUGGAAUCCGGUUGGGCACUGUCAUAUUCAGCAUCUUUGUGUGUGUUGGGCAGGUGGUUUUUGCUCUGGGAGCGCUGUUCAACACCUUCUGGCUGAUGGAAGUGGGCAGAUUCAUAUUUGGGAUUGGGGGUGAGUCCUUGGCGGUGGCCCAGAACACGUAUGCAGUGAGCUGGUUCAAGGGCAAGGAGCUGAACCUGGUGUUUGGAUUGCAGCUCAGCAUGGCCAGAAUUGGGAGCACGGUGAACAUGAAUAUCAUGGGAUGGAUCUACUCCAGAGUUCAGGAUCUCCUGGGCUCUGCUGGUCCCAGCACCCUCGGCCUGGCUCUGCUCAUAGGUGGAGUCACUUGUCUGUUCUCACUGAGCUGUGCUUUGAUCCUGGCUUACCUGGACAGGAGAGCAGAGAAACUGCUUUGCAAGGAGCAGGGGAAAACAGGAGAAGUGAUCAAGCUGACGGAUGUGAAGGAUUUCUCCUUGUCCUUGUGGCUCAUCUUUGUCAUCUGUGUCUGUUACUACGCUGCAGUUUUCCCUUUCAUUGGCCUGGGGAAGGUUUUCUUUAUUGAAAAAUUCCGGUUUUCCCCUCAAGAAGCCAGUGCAAUUAACAGCGUGGUGUACAUCAUCUCAGCCCCCAUGUCCCCGGUGUUCGGGCUGCUGGUGGAUAAAGUUGGCAAGAACAUCAUCUGGGUGCUGUGUGCUGUGGUGACCACGCUGGCCUCGCACAUCCUGCUGGCCUUCACCUUCUGGAACCCCUGGAUAGCCAUGUGCCUGCUGGGUGUGGCCUAUUCCCUGCUGGCCUGUGCCCUGUGGCCCAUGGUGGCCUUCGUGGUCCCCGAGCACCAGCUGGGAACUGCCUAUGGCUUCAUGCAGUCCAUCCAGAACCUGGGCCUGGCAGUGAUUGCCAUAGCAGCUGGAAUGAUCCUGGACACCAGGGGAUACCUGUUCCUCGAGGUCUUCUUCAGUGCCUGUGUUUGCUUGUCACUGAUAGCUGUGGUGCUGCUGUACUUUGUGAAUCACCUCACAGGUGGUGAUCUCAACUGGUCUGCAAAGAAAAGGGCAAAACUGCAAAAAGCAGCUGCUUCUGACUCUGGCACGUUUUGUUUGGAGAAGCUCCUCUGCUGUUCCCUCUAGGCUGACAUUCCAUGUGUGAUCCAAGCCUGCAGCUCCUGUUUUCCUGAGCUUUAGUUCCAGUUUGUGAAUUCCCUGCACCCUUCAGGAUCCUGCUCCAGUCCUGGGGGGCUUCUGCAAAGGGGACAAAUCCCCCUGGGAGCUGCAGCCCCUGUGGCUGAGCUUGGAGAGGAGCUUUAACCCUCACUGAUGGAAACGCUGAUGGAAAACAUCUCCAAAAGAGGAAUUGACUGGACCGAUUUGCCCAGGAUGUGCUCUGUGCUCCUGCCCCAGGUGCCUGAGGAACCCUUCAGAAGCUGAAAUCGGGAACGGCUGGGAAGGGAGCUUUAUCCCAAGGAAUCCUCCCUUUUCCAGGGAUCUCUCACUAGAGGUCAGCACUGCCUCGGGAAUGUUGGAUAAUCGGGAUGGAAACCCUCCAGGCUGCCGGGGUUGGUUUUGGUGCCUGAUUCCAGCCCUGCUCCUGGCACAGGGAUCACGGGCUUUGGAGCAGCCUGGGAUGGGGGACGGUGUCCCCACCCAGGGCAGGGUGGCCUUUAAGGUCCUUCCAGCCCAAACCCAUCUGUGAUUCCAUGGAAUCCCAUGGAAUUCCAUGGGAAAAGCACCUCAACCCCUCAGUUCUCUUUGACUGAAUCAUUUCUGAGGUGAGUAAAGUCUUGGUGUUCUCCAUCAGGUUUUGGAUUCCAGGGGAGGCUCAGGGUGGAAUCAGCAGGAAUUUCCCCAUGGAAAGGGUGGUCAGGGCUUGGCAGGGGCUGCCCAGGGAGGUUUGGAGUUCCCAUCCCUGGAGGUGUCCAAGGAAUUCCUGGCCAUGUCCCCAGUGCUCUGGGCUGGAGCUUUUCCUGGGCGAGCUCCAGGGCAUGGGAAACACGGAUGGGGAUGGAUGGAGCCAUCCUGGCCAGGCUCAGGCACCUCCUGGGAUCCCAGGGUUGGAAGAGUUGUAUAAAAUCAUGGAAUUACAGGAUUGUUAAAGCUGGAAAUGAUCUUUUAAGUCAUCAUUCCAGCUCUGAGCCAGGCUGGGAUCCAGAGGAAAUUCUUUAUUCCUGUUAUUCCUGUUAUUCCUUCAGCAGCUCCUGGGGCUGGGGGUGAGUUAACGGCAGCUUGGCAUCAUUAGGUGUUAAUUUCUGAUUUCUUUAUCCUGGCAGCCUCCCCUGCUCCAUGCAUCAUUCCCAACCAGCCCAGCCCAGCCCAGCCUGCUGCUGAACGAGGACCUGGAGCCAAGUGGGAUCUCCCAGUGUUUUCCAGGUAAGGAAGAAGGAAAACCAGAAGGGAAAUGUUGUCCCAGAGCUGAGAUUUAAGGUUCAUUAUUAUUAUUAAUAAUAUUAUUAAUAAUAACACUGACAAAAUUAAUAAAUAACAAUAAUUUUGAAAAAUUAUAAUAUUUAUAACCUUAAGAUAUUUAAUAUAAUUUUAAACUUCAUUAAAUAAAUGAAAAAUACAGACUGUAUUAGAUAUUUUAUUACAAAUAAAUAUAAUA